rnacentral:rRNA from 1 species
ACGAACGCUGGCGGCAUGCCUCACACAUGCAAGUCGAACGAGACCUUCGGGUCUAGUGGCGCACGGGUGCGUAACGCGUGGGAACCUGCCCUUAGGUUCGGAAUAACUCCCCGAAAGGGGUGCUAAUACCGGAUAAUGUCUUCGGACCAAAGAUUUAUCGCCUUUGGAUGGGCCCGCGUUGGAUUAGCUAGUUGGUAGGGUAAAAGCCUACCAAGGCGACGAUCCAUAGCUGGUCUGAGAGGAUGAUCAGCCACACUGGGACUGAGACACGGCCCAGACUCCUACGGGAGGCAGCAGUGGGGAAUAUUGGACAAUGGGCGAAAGCCUGAUCCAGCAAUGCCGCGUGAGUGAUGAAGGCCUUAGGGUUGUAAAGCUCUUUUACCCGGGAUGAUAAUGACAGUACCGGGAGAAUAAGCUCCGACUAACUCCGUG